rnacentral:rRNA from 1 species
UACGUAGGUGGCAAGCGUUGUCCGGAUUUACUGGGCGUAAAGAGCGCGCAGGCGGUCUUUUAAGUCGAAUGUGAAAGCCCCCGGCUCAACUGGGGAGGGUCAUUCGAUACUGAUCGACUUGAAGGCAGGAGAGGGAAGUGGAAUUCCCGGUGUAGUGGUGAAAUGCGUAGAUAUCGGGAGGAACACCAGUGGCGAAGGCGACUUCCUGGCCUGUUCUUGACGCUGAGGCGCGAAAGCUAGGGGAUCAAACGGG